CGGGGUGAGUAACGCGUGAGCAACCUGCCUUUAUCAGGGGGAUAACGCAUCGAAAGAUGUGCUAAUACCGCGUAAGACCACAGCUUCACAUGGAGCGGGGGUCAAAGGAGCAAUCCGGAUAAAGAUGGGCUCGCGUCCGAUUAGCUAGUUGGUGAGGUAACGGCCCACCAAGGCGACGAUCGGUAGCCGGACUGGGAGGUUGAACGGCCACAUUGGGACUGAGACACGGCCCAG
rnacentral:rRNA from 1 species